rnacentral:lncRNA from 1 species
GCGUGUGGCCGCCGAGCACAUGGACCCACUGGUCAAGCGGGCUCGGCAAGGCCAGGAUGAAGAGAAGCUACGAACUUAGCAUUCCCAGAGCCCCCCGAGUGGAUAUCCGCGUGGAAAGGAUGUUGGCAGCCCCGGUGACCUCGGAGUCACGGCUGGAUCCACCCUCUUAGAGCCGAGUUCUGUCACCACAGACAUUGGCAGUGGCACUUGCAUGCCCCUGGCAAGCAGUCUAUCCUGAGGUGGAGGAAGUUGCCCUUGAGUUCUGGCUGGUAACCAGCACAGGGGCUGGGACACUGCCUGAUUGAGGUGGCCAUUGAGAAUUCAAGUGUACCUCUUGGUCCCUGAUGCAGAAAUGAAGUCCCCAGCAUGCUCAAGAAGAGCUUCCUUGGAGGAUGAGAGGCAUGGGAAUCUAAGUAUACCCUUUAAGCGUUCCAGAAGGAUUUUGAGAUCCUUUCCUAAAUCAAAGGUGGAAUAUUUGGGGAUUUGGAAAAUUGAGAUGUGAAGCGUUGACUUAAGAGAUGCCAAGUAACUCAGCAGAUGUCACACAGACGAUAAAUAGCAAAGAUGGAAGUCUUCAUGCCGGAGGCAAUCCUAUAAGACAGCUGAGUUCUGCAGAGCUGGUAGGAGACAGACUUGCUCAGGUGAUAGAUCCAGCCAUGAUACUGACCCUAAGAGAAUGAGACGCUCUGCAGAAGACAGAAGAUUCCUGAAACUGGGAAAGGUGCCUAGAAAUCCUGAUAAGAGUGAAGAAGGAGCUGGCAGAGCAGCCUUCCUCCGCACUAUGAAAGACAUCCAACAGAGAGCAAGUUCCCACCUCACUUCCAGCUUGACUCCUUUUUAUCUCCUAACUGUGGUCUGUGAUGUCUUCAGCAAUGGGUACCUGGAGGCACAGCAGCCAUGUUGAACCUAUGAGGUGAUGAAAAACCAUGCAACUAGAAACCAGAAUGGAAGAAAAGAAGAAGCUGGAUCCUUGACUGAAUUGUCGAUGGGGGAUAGUCCAUCAUCCCAGGGCUAAGACCACCUCCAGAUUUCUUGUUUGGUGAAACAAGUCCUGAUUGUUUACAUUCCCUCGUGUUGAGCUGUCUCUUGCUUGUAGCUGAAAGCAUUUCUAAUAGAUAUUCAGAUUAUCAGCCUUAGCUCCAAGCUAGAAUACUCUAUGGGACCUUAGCUUCUCCAUGAAUUCCUUUGCUCAUCUGUGUAAUGCUCAAUAAAUGUAAAUUGAACCCUGAAUGAGGGACAAUGACA